rnacentral:rRNA from 1 species
GAUGAACGCUGGCGGCGUGCCUAAUACAUGCAAGUCGAACGAUCCUACCCUCACCUUUCUCCUCUCACGUUAGCGACGGACGGGUGAGUAACACUUAGAAAACCUACCUAUAAGACUGCGAUAACUUCGGGAAACCCGUGCUAAUACCUGCUAAUAUCUUGAACCGCAUUAUUCAAUAUUGCAAGACGGUUUUGCUCGCACUCAUAGAUGGAUCCGCGCCGCAUUAGCUAGUUGGUAAGGUAACGGCUUACCAAGGCAACGAUGCAUAGCCGACCUGAGAGGGUGAUCGGCCACACUGGAACUGAGACACGGUCCAGACUCCUACGGGAGGCAGCAGUAGGGAAUCUUCCGCAAUGGGCGAAAGUCUGACGGAGCAACGCCGCGUGAGUGAAGAAGGUCUUCGGAUCGUAAAACUCUGUUAUUAGGGAAGAACAAAUGUGUAAGUAACUAUGCGCGUCUUGACGGUACCUAAUCAGAAAGCCACGGCUAACUACGUG